GUGGGGAAUUUUGGACAAUGGGGGCAACCCUGAUCCAGCCAUGCCGCGUGCGGGAAGAAGGCCUUCGGGUUGUAAACCGCUUUUGUCAGGGAAGAAAUCCUUUGGGUUAAUACCUCGGAGGGAUGACGGUACCUGAAGAAUAAGCACCGGCUAACUACGUGCCAGCAGCCGCGGUAAUACGUAGGGUGCGAGCGUUAAUCGGAAUUACUGGGCGUAAAGCGUGCGCAGGCGGUUGUGUAAGAUCGAUGUGAAAUCCCCGGGCUCAACCUGGGAACUGCAUUGGUGACUGCAAGGCUGGAGUGCGGCAGAGGGGGAUGGAAUUCCGCGUGUAGCAGUGAAAUGCGUAGAUAUGCGGAGGAACACCGAUGGCGAAGGCAAUCCCCUGGGCCUGCACUGACGCUCAUGCACGAAAGCGUGGGGAGCAAACAGGAUUAGAAACCCCAGUAGUCC
rnacentral:rRNA from 1 species